CCUACGGGAUGCUGCAGUGGGGAAUAUUGGACAAUGGGCGAAAGCCUGAUCCAGCCAUGCCGCGUGUGUGAAGAAGGCCUUCGGGUUGUAAAGCACUUUCAGUGGGGAAGAAAGCCUUGGGGCUAAUACCCUCGAGGAAGGACAUCACCCACAGAAGAAGCACCGGCUAACUCCGUGCCAAGCAGCCGCGGUAAUACGGAGGGUGCGAGCGUUAAUCGGAAUUACUGGGCGUAAAGCGCGCGUAGGCGGUCUGAUAAGCCGGUUGUGAAAGCCCCGGGCUCAACCUGGGAACGGCAUCCGGAACUGUCAGGCUAGAGUGCAGGAGAGGAAGGUAGAAUUCCCGGUGUAGCAGUGAAAUGCGUAGAGAUCGGGAGGAAUACCAGUGGCGAAGGCGGCCUUCUGGACUGACACUGACGCUGAGGUGCGAAAGCGUGGGUAGCAAACAGGAUUAGAUACCCCGGUAGUC
rnacentral:rRNA from 1 species